rnacentral:rRNA from 1 species
AGUUGAUCCUGGCUCAGAACGAACGCUGGCGGCGCGUCUUAAGCAUGCAAGUCGAACGGCAAGAGGUAGCAAUACCUCCUAGAGUGGCGGACUGGUGAGUAACACGUGGGUGACAUACCCUUCAGAUGGGGAUAGCUAUUAGAAAUAGUAGAUAAUACCGAAUACGAGCACAGGGGUUAGAGAUCUGUGAGGAAAGGAGCUAAGGCUCCGCUGAAGGAAUGGCCUGCGGCCCAUUAGCUAGUUGGUGAGGUAAGAGCCCACCAAGGCGAUGAUGGGUAUCCGGCCUUAGAGGGUGAACGGACACAUUGGGACUGAGAUAUGGCCCAGACUCCUACGGGAGGCAGCAGCUAAGAAUAUUCCGCAAUGGACGAAAGUCUGACGGAGCGACGCCGCGUGGAUGAAGAAGGCCGGAAGGUUGUAAAAUCCUUUUGAAACUGAAGAAUAAGCGUUGUAGGGAAUGACAGCGUGGUGACAGUAGGUUUUGAAUAAGCAACGGCUAAUUACGUGCCAGCAGCCGC